UGAGCCAAAGAUGACUUGCCG
rnacentral:miRNA from 1 species